UUGGCUCAGUACUUUUUGAGCCAAAAUAAGUGCUGCCAUAAUAUUGUGCUUACUUGUCUGGCUGACUUCUUCUCACUUUCCAUUGUAGAUGUUUACUGGUGGUGAUAAUGUCACAAAGAAGAACCAGACUGAGCCCUGAAUCUGAGGCUGCUCCUUUUAUCUGGAGUCAACAAGCCUUGUUUGAAAGCCCAGUGGAUCAAUGAUUAUAAAGACACCAAGUGACGGGAUCUUGACUGAACCUUCUGGAGACCAAGAAGGGAGUGAGAGAGCCACUUCAUCCUUACAACAGGUUACUACUUCUUAUCAUGAUAUACUAGGUUUGAGUUUUCAGCUUUCUUUGACAAACACAGGAGAAGUUAUAAAUCAGAAACAUGGACUCUCCAUGAUUUCAGUCGUCAUGUCCUCAUAUUUCUUUAGACCUGAAAAACCGGAGUGUGUUUCAGGUGACAUGAUUUUUGUCUGGACCUAAUUCUGGAGAGCCUGUUUUCGAAUGUCCCCAUAUUGCUGUUACACAGAGCUGAACAGUGUUAACUUUCUAUAGUGUCUUAUAUUAAUCCCAAACCCUCCUGUGAGCGAUGUUCAAUGAAAAACAAUGUUUAUUCAUUUAUUAACUAAUCAGGAUGAAUAAAUUUGAAUAUUUCUGACACUGCACUGUUGCUAUGUUGCAGACAUUAAGUGUUCCGAUCCUGAUGAAACCUUCUGAAGAUCAAGAAAGGAGUGGAAGAUCCACUUCUUCCUUAAACAGACACCAACUGACCUGACUGAACCCUCUGGAGACCAUGAAUGGAGUGAGAGAUCCACUUCAUUCUUACAACAGACACCAACUGACCUGACUGAACCGUCUGGAGACCAUGAAUGGAGUGAGAGAUCCACUUCAUUCUUACAACAGGUUACUACUUCUUAUCAUGAUAUACUAGGUUUGAGUUUUCAGCUUUCUUUGACAAACACAGGAGAAGUUAUAAGUCAGAAACAUGGACUCUCCAUGAUUUCAGUCGUCAU